AUGAUCAUAACAACACUAAUGCACCAGAUCCCAUCAAAACUCCACUGUUAAGUGUGCUUGCGCAAGAGUAGUACUAGGAUGGGUGACUCCUGGGAAGUCCACGUAUUGCACCCA